rnacentral:rRNA from 1 species
AUACGGAGGGUGCAAGCGUUAUCCGGAUUUAUUGGGUUUAAAGGGUCCGUAGGCGGACCUGUAAGUCAGUGGUGAAAUCUCACAGCUUAACUGUGAAACUGCCAUUGAUACUGCAGGUCUUGAGUAAAUUUGAAGUGGCUGGAAUAAGUAGUGUAGCGGUGAAAUGCAUAGAUAUUACUUAGAAAACCAAUUGCGAAGGCAGGUCACUAAGAUUUAACUGACGCUGAUGGACGAAAGCUGGGGGAGCGAACAGUAUUAGAUCCCCUGGUAGUCCACGCCGUAAACGAUGCUAACUCGUUUUUUGGUUUUCGGAUUCAGAGACUAAGCGAAAGUGAUAAGUUAGCCACCUGGUGAGUACGUUCGCAAGAAUGA